rnacentral:rRNA from 1 species
UAGAGUUUGAUCAUGGCUCAGGACGAACGCUGGCGGCGUGCCUAAUACAUGCAAGUCGAACGCUUCUUUCCUCCCGAGUGCUUGCACUCAAUUGGAAAGAGGAGUGGCGGACGGGUGAGUAACACGUGGGUAACCUACCCAUCAGAGGGGGAUAACACUUGGAAACAGGUGCUAAUACCGCAUAACAGUUUAUGCCGCAUGGCAUAAGAGUGAAAGGCGCUUUCGGGUGUCGCUGAUGGAUGGACCCGCGGUGCAUUAACUAGUUGGUGAGGUAACGGCUCACCAAGGCCACGAUGCAUAGCCGACCUGAGAGGGUGAUCGGCCACACUGGGACUGAGACACGGCCCAGACUCCUACGGGAGGCAGCAGUAGGGAAUCUUCGGCAAUGGACGAAAGUCUGACCGAGCAACGCCGCGUGAGUGAAGAAGGUUUUCGGAUCGUAAAACUCUGUUGUUAGAGAAGAACAAGGACGUUAGUAACUGAACGUCCCCUGACGGUAUCUAACCAGAAAGCCACGGCUAACUACGUGCCAGCAGCCGCGGUAAUACGUAGGGUGCAAGCGUUAAUCGGAAUUACUGGGCGUAAAGCGCACGCAGGCGGUUUCUUAAGUCUGAUGUGAAAGCCCCCGGCUCAACCGGGGAGGGUCAUUGGAAACUGGGAGACUUGAGUGCAGAAGAGGAGAGUGGAACUCCAUGUGUAGCGGUGAAAUGCGUAGAUAUAUGGAGGAACAUCAGUGGCGAAGGCGGCUCUCUGGUCUGUAACUGACGCUGAGGCUCGAAAGCGUGGGGAGCAAACAGGAUUAAAUACCCUGGUAGUCC